rnacentral:lncRNA from 1 species
GGAGGAGCCAAGAUGGCCGAAUAGGAACAGCUCCCGUCUGCAGCUCCCAGCGUGAGCGACGCAGAAGACGGUGAUUUCUGCAUUUCCAUCUGAGGUUGUACAAGAAUAAUCUGGAAACAUCACACUAAAGAAGAGGAAAGCAGUAUAAUCUGGAGGACUCAAAUUUAGAGUCACACCAAAGGGAUCCAAAUCCCUGAUUCAGCAAUUAUUUUCUGUGUGAACUCAGUAAGUCAUUUGGAUCCUCACAUACUCCAGCCAGUAAUUGAAGACAUAAGAAUCUCCACAGCUUUACUGCAAGAAGGGGAGUCUUUGAACACAUGUUAUACGCAUGUCAGCAAAUUGAAGAUUAUUGAAACACCUUUAGCUGACUGAGGAUGAUAUGGCUGAGGUUAGCUGGAAGUUUAGAAUCCCCUGAAAAACUUACCACAAAGAAUAGAUUCUGGACUACAGAGUCAGGCUGCAGAUUACGCCUGGGUUUUCUUAGGCAUGGUUUUCUUCCAUGGAAAACUUUCCUGAACCAACCACCUUGACACAGUGGGUUUGCCACAAAAAGAAAAUAAAUAAGUAAGCUGUGUGAGCACAUAUGUGUUGAGAGUGUGUGUAUGUAUGUGGCUGCAUGAUAUUGGGUCCACUGUCUGCUGGCAAGGGGUAACCAUGGCUGAGGUGACCACUGCUCAGAAGGCUUCGUCUCCCUACUCAGACCUACACCUUUGGAAUCUCAGCAGGGCACAGUGAGAAAGCAGCACCAUUUUCAACAGCCAACACCUACCCAGUGAAGCCAGAGACUGCAGACAACCAAUCAACUGAUUUCCUCUUGAUGGAAUUUGGUUAUAAUCUCAAUUACCCACGGAAUCUGAGAUAGCCUCUGGAUUAUUGAGCUCUGCUAGAACAGUGGUAUCCUUAUAAUGCUAAGAUGGCUGCUCCAGGUCAAGCUGAAUUGAAUAUUUAAAGAGAUAUGUCCCCAUUUGGUUCUGAGGUUCAUAAAUGCUAGUGAAUCUAUGCAAAAAUACAUCAUUUAACAUUUAUUCCAAGCUUACUGUAUGCCAGACACAGCAGCAAGCACUUCACACAUAUUAACCUUCAUCAUGUCUUAUUCUUAUCUUCACCAUGUCAUGCUUUGACAAAAGAUCACACAAUCAUUAAGUGAAAGGCAAGCAUUCAAACUCAGUCCCAUCUGAUUCAAGAUCAGUUUGGCAAUAUAGAAGAAAUCAGCUAGUAUUAUCAAUCUCAAAUUUCAAAUGCUAUUAUGAAAAUCUCUUAGUAAAGAAAAUAAUAAAUAGCUGCAGCCCUGUUCAUUUAAGGCGUUAGCUACUUAAUCUCUUAAAAUCAAUCCCCUAGGGAGAGUACUGAUUUAUUAGAGAAAAAUGAAUGCAGUACAAUAUAAACAUUACAUUUUCAGAGAAUAAUUUCUAAGAAAUUCUAAGUGAAGAUCAGUCAAUGAUGUUGUUAGUACACUUAAUACUUUAUCUUUCUAUAUAUUUUACAUUGUAUAACCCACCC